rnacentral:rRNA from 1 species
UACGUAGGGUGCUAGCGUUGUCCGGAUUUAUUGGGCGUAAAGGGCUCGUAGGCGGCGUGUCGCAUCGGGAGUGAAAGCCCGCUGCUUAACGGCGGGUUGGCUUCCGGUACGGGCAUCGCUGGAGUGCGGCAGGGGAGACUGGAAUUCCUGGUGUAGCGGUGGAAUGCGCAGAUAUCAGGAGGAACACCGGUGGCGAAGGCGGGUCUCUGGGCCGUUACUGACGCUGAGGAGCGAAAGCGUGGGGAGCGAACAGG